UAGAAAAAAUCUUUUUUUAGUAUCAUAUGCUAAACGCAAUUUUCACCUUUGCUUAUACACUGACUACGUUUUGCGAGACUUUUGCUAUACAUUUCAUGUUCUCUUUUCACCAUAGGAGUAUAAUUUAGUUCAACUUGCUGAUCGGAAUCGUUUUUUUCGUUUUGCUUUUUCAAUUUUCUUCUGGAACUUUUCUCAGAUCAUAAGUUUUUAGAAGAUACAAUAUGUAAUCACUCCCAGCAUUGCGGAAAUGCCGUUGCUUCGUUUUUCAGUUGAAUGCUGAAAUUUAACAUUGGUUUGUAAUGAACUUAGUUUGUCCUUUCUGAAGACUAUUGCAUGCAAAGCAUAUUGAUGCAACUUUGAGUUCAGAUUAGGCUUUUGGAAGUUCUCUGGUUCAAGCGCAAAGUUCGACAUUUGGGAAUUGAAGGGGAUUCAAGUCUCAAACAUUAGUAGAUAACAUGAGAGAGUAAAGAAUACACUAACAAAGAGAACAUUGUUGAUGUGUCUGUGAAUCAUCUGCUUUCUAGAAUGACUCUUCGAACGUUUUCUUCUGUAUCUCCUCACAUUGAUGAAAAUGGGUGUUACCAUAAAAUUUCGUUGUUGUUUUCAACUAGGUCGGGGGGGGGGGGAUGGGGAUGAGAUUUCUACUUUUGUUACAAAGGUUGACAUGUGGGGAAUGUAAGAGGAUUUGAGUCUUAACAUGACUAGGACACAUCAAGGUGUUGACCAUGCAACCAAGCCAGGUUGAAUUCAUUUUUGUCAUUUUUGUGGAAGACAUAUUGUAGAUUAGCUACAUGACUUCUUUUGUAUAGCACUAACAAUUUGAUCCAUCUCUUACGCAUUUAGCAUGGACCCUACUAUUGACUGGUUGCCCUGAUCAAUACAAUGCCUUGGUAUGGAUUUGCUGUAGAGUGGCUUGAGUGAUGUUAAUUCACAACUCCUCUUGAUAUUUUGUGGUAUAUUACUCCUACAAACUUGUGAAGAAUUCUUCAAGACAAUGGGUUGGAUGACAUUUCAAAGGGGAUUCAAAGUUUUGAAGUAAAAGAGAUAGCCAUAAGGCAUCUUUUUUAUAUUUGUUGCUUUCUACCUUCAUAAGUUUUGCUCCUCACUAUGCCAUCAGCCAUAGAAAUAUAAGUUAUAGUUGUUUUAGAAGCCUUGAAAUUGAUGGCCAUAAACUCUGGUGCGUGGUACAACAUGGAGGAUGCAAAUUCAACCUUCUGUUUGGUAAAUGAGUAAUUACAGUUGCCGCAUAGUUACUCUAUGUUAUUCAAACUUCGGUCCUAAUUGUGCUAUAAUUUGUUUGUAACUUCCUUUUAUGCUUUGCCCCAUAUGUGGAAUUUUUACAACUGGAUCUAGCUUAAUUGACUAAGAUUCCUACUGAAUAAAUGAAAUAGGACUCCACCAUCUAAUAGGUGCACAAGACUGAUUUCCCCCACUUUGCAUAUAGUUUUUAGUUCAUAGGAAGAGUUUGUCCCUUCAUUUACCAUCUCCUCUUGUACCUUUUACUAUCAAAGUGAAAUAUGUGAAGAGUCUGCAACAUAGAAUGUAGGACAUGGAACAAUCCUACCAGCAACUUCCGUCACUUCUCUUCCCGCGAAGUGACAACUAACAUUUAAAAAUGCACCUAAUUUGCCCCAUUUUCACACUCCUAUGUAUUUCAUGUUACCCACGCUCUCAGGCCUGCAACUCAACUCAAUUACUUACAAAGUUUAUUAGUUAAAGAUAAUUAAGUAAUAAAAUACAUUUUAAAAAUUUAUACUAUUACCUAUUGAUUUGAUGAAAGUAUAAAGUACGAGUAAGUAAUUUUUUUGUUUUUGUUGUUCACUGAUGUCCAGUACUCACUUUGGGACAGCUAAUUCAAAUUCGUGCCUAGAAAUGUGCACAAGACUGAUUUUCCUCACUUUGCAUAUAGUUUUUAGUUCAUAGGAAGAGUUUGUCCCUUCAUUUACCAUCUCCUCUUGUACCUUUUACUAUCAAAGUGAAAUAUGUGAAAGAAGAAGAAAAGAUGUGAUGCCUAAUGUUAUUGACGAUUUUCAGGCAUAGGUUAUUGCUAGUAUUGGUUAUGUUGAGUCCAACCUAGACUAGCAUAAAGUAAUGGUACUCACUCUUCGUCUAUCCAUAUCUACGAUGAAGAUCUAAUCUUAAAUAUUAAAGACUUGUUAUUUUAUUUUCCAGCUACAUUUUUAUUAAAACUUACAAAAGUAAGACUCUUGAUUUUGUGGUCUAGUAUCAUUUUAUUCUGACGCUUUUGGGAUACCUCAUGGAGUUUAUUCUCCUCCUUGCUUUUGAAGAUGAGUUGAACACUAGCCUAUAACAUGAUCUAGGUUUUCACGGUUUUGGACUUCACCCUUGGAACUUCUAUUUAUUUUUAAUUGACAUUCGGUAGACUUAUGGUAAUUCAGAGGAGUUGAAAGUUAUGUAAAAUGCUAAGAGGGCCGUGUUAAGGUGCCAUUUGACUUAUUAGGGUGAGAAAAAUUAGAAUACUAUUCUGCAUAUGUCUUUAGUAUUUUGGCAUUAACAUGAUGUAAUACUGUUGGAUUUAUUAUCUCCUGUAUUUCAAUGUUGUAUUUUAUGAGGAUGUAAAGAUGGAUGUGUGGGUGUACCAGGAGGGAUAAGAUUAGGAAUGAAGUUAUUCGGGAAAAAGUGGGUGUGGUCUCCGUGGAGGACAAGAUGGAGGAGUCGAGACUGAGAUGGUUUGGGCAUGUUAAGAGAAGAAGCAUUGACGCUCCUGUUAAGAGGUGUGAGAGGUUGACCAUGGCGGUUUGACAAAAGGUCGAGGCAGACCUAAGAAGUACUGGGGAGAGGUGAUCAGGCAAGGCCUAGCGCGACUUCAGUUCACUGAGGACAUGACCCUUGAUAGGAGGGUGUGGAGGUCGAAGAUUAGGGUAGAAGGGUAAUAGGUAGUUGAGAGUUUCCCACUUUCUUACCAGUAGUACUAGUAGCACGCAUGUACUUUCCUAUUUCUCAGAUUUAUAUUACAUCAUCAUGUUGUUUAGUUUGUUUUAGUUAUCGUAUUCUCCUGUGGUUACUAUUUUGGUAAUACUUAUUCUUUUCUCCCCUUUCUCCCCUCUCUUUAUUUCUUUUCUUCUUUUUCUCCCUCUGCUUCUUAUUCUUCUUCCUCUUUUCCUCCUCUCUACCUUUCUGAGCCGAGGGUCUAUUGGAAAGAACUUCUCUACCUUCACUAGGUAGGUGUAUGGUCUGCGUACUCACUACCCUCUCCAGACCUCACAUGUGAGAAUAUACUGGGUAUGUUGUUGUUGUUGUAUUUCUGGGGAUUCUGCUGAACUUAUCCCAUGCAUUUAUUCAUGAAGAGUUAAGACUGUAAUUUCUCCACAAUAGAGUUAAAGCACAAGGAUAGACAAGUAUGUGAUCAACACUUUGUUGAUAUCUAUGUGGAAUUUACAUGCUUCAAAUGAUCUCUGUCUUGUUUCCCAACUUGCAAUGAAGCUAAUGGUAGACGACCGCUCGUAUAUGUUGAUGGUGGGAUUAUGCAGAGAGAGGCUACAUUUCAUCCCACCGAUAUUAUAAUAGUUGGUAGUGCUUGAUAACGUGAAGUUUAGCAUUAGCACUUUUGACAAAAGGUAAGCAAAAUGUAUAUAUAUGUAAUAAGUGAAGAGCUUAUCUGUAUAUGGAAAGAAAUCAUCUAGAGUAGGAUUGAACAGAGAUAUUGGGUCUCUUUGAGGUGGCAAAACUGAACCAUGGAUACCUAUUUGAGGUUUCAUGACAUUUAGGCAACUAUGGCUUUUGUUAAGAAUAAUACAUAAGUUAGUGUCGUUUAGAUGCAUGUUGGGGAGGGAGGAUAUCCGUCAGAUUAUAAUUUAGGCUCUUUAGUUGUUGGUCAUAUUCAGUUUGCUUCAUUUUUGUAGAGUGAUAGCAUGGCUAUGUGAUGACAAUUGGUUUGUAGAAGGGAUUGCUUCUGGUCAGAGGUAACUAUAUAGAGUCUAACCACAUCUAAGGCGGAAGGUUUAUCUGCUUAUAGUUCUUCAAUAUUAUAGCCUUAUCCUUGGUUCUUAUGUUCCUGUAUUUGCAUAAUAUUUAUUGCUUAGGUUUAGGGAUGACAAACGGGCGGGUCAGAUCGGAUAUGGGCAGGUCGAAAACGGGAAUGCAAAAAUGACUAAAUUAUUCGACCUAAUUGUAGCAAGAACGUUGCGAUAGAAGGUUUUCCCGCAACGGUCCGUGCACCGUGCCAAUAGACAUGUUUAUGGGAACGGUUCUGCAAAAAUAUUUUUUUAUGGGAACGGUUUUUCAUUCCCUCCUUAUUUCCCCCAAAAUUUGCAAACCCGCCAAAUCAACCCCCAUUUCUUUUAUAUUUUUGAUUAAUUUUAAUAAUGUAAAUAUAAAGUUAAAACAUUUUCCCAGCAAACCCACCCACCUGUUCAUUCGAUACAUCCAAUGACCAUCUCUUUCUUUUUGCCUCUGAAGAUUCAUUCCCCCCAAAAUCCUCUCUUUCACUCCUAAAAUUCAAGUCCAGAAACCUAAGAUAUUUAUACUUUUAUUGUCUUUCAACUCCUUAUAGAUUCGUCUCAAGGACAAUUGCUAACCUUCCCCAAAUCCCCAAAUUCCAAAAUCAAUUUUAUGCUCGAAUCGGAGAAGCCGUCCAAACGAAUAUAUUAUUAGUGUGGAUCGUCUUCUGCUGGAGUUGAUAGUCGUUCGUCUUUGGAUUGGAGAGAGAAAGGUGUUACUACAGUAAAAAAUCAAGGCAGUUGUGUUCUAUACCAGUUUUCCGAAGUACACUUCGUCCGUGGCUCAAAGGAAUUUGAAGACCUAUGCUCAGAAUAUAAACCAGCAGUUUGCGCACCAAAUUCAACAGUAUCAGCUGCAAUAUUGUGUGCACCUGACUUAUCAACUGUCACGCCAUUUGUUUUUCGAAUCGGGGAAGUAGUAUGUUGUUGUCGUGAAUUGAUAUCACAGUUGUAGCAGCUCGAUCGGCCAAAAAAUAGUAAUUGUGAUAAAAUAUGUCAUAGAGGCAGUGUUAUUAAAAGCGCUCGCUUCUCGCUUUAAGCGAUGAAGCGAGGCGAGGCGCAGGGUUAGCGCUUUUCUGCUAAAAAGGCGACUCACACUCAAAAAGCAUGCGCUUUUCUCGCUUAAGCGAGAAGCGAGCCAGUAGAAAAAGCGAGAAAAAGCUCGCUUAAGCGAGCAUAAGGCAUCAGCUAGGGCUUUUUUAAAUUUUUUUGGCAAAUAACCCAUCUGUUAACGAAACAUACGCAAGGACUUCUUCUCCCGCGAACUCCAUCGACGACCACUGCUGCUCCAACGACUUCUUCUCCAGAUCUCGAGAAUGUCCCAAAUUAAUAUUGAGAACCGAAAACAGUUAAAGAAUCCUCACACUGCUGGAAAAAGAAGUUUUGCUUUAGUUCGUUCUAAGUUGGUGUGUAACUAGUUUUCAUGGCAAAAAAUUUCUCAAUUUUGGCUCUUGUUUAGUUCAUGGUUGAUCACCGGGAAUGCUAACUCACUUUCAUGUAACUAGAAAAACGAUAAGCAAACUUCGGACCCUUUAUCAGCAAAGGAAGUCUUUGUAGCUACAAGAAAAAGAAAAGAUGGGCGAUCAUACAAGUGCUCAGAUGAAGAUACAACUAGAAAAAUUGUGCGAAUUAUAUUUAACUAAUGUUAUAUCGAAAUCAAUUAUUUUUUUUAUUA